GGCCAAUGAUCAAUUAAGCCAUAUAAAUUACUCAUGUUUUCAACUCAAUUAGAAACAAACCUACCAUAAACCUCAAAAAAAGAGAA
rnacentral:rRNA from 1 species